AAAAAAAUAAACCCUAGAUUUCCGUGUCCAAUGUUUUUUAUAAUUAGUAUUUUUAUUAUUGUUAGAUGAUAAAACAUAGUUAAUACUUUAUGUGUGACUUGUCUUUUUAAUUUUUUUUCAUAAUUUUUUCAAAUAAGACGGACGGUCAAACGUUAGACACGGAAACGCGGGGUUUGUCUUUUU
rnacentral:pre_miRNA from 1 species